rnacentral:lncRNA from 1 species
GUUGAACAUGAUAGCCGUCAUUAAUCCAAAUAAGUAAUACAGUAGUUGUAAUAUAAGUUAUAUUUUAGUCAUGCAUAACUGAUAUUGACGAAUUUAGAAUAGUUCGUCCAUACAUCGUUGUUCUUGAAACAAUCAUUAUUAGUAUACAUGUAAGUUUCCUGACGUAUGAGAGCCAUAUUUGAGGAUGAGCUUCAGAGAAAGCAGACUAGUAGCGUUCGUCGUUUUUGUUGAGAAAGGAGAGGAAAUGCAACCGCUUGUACAGAUAAACGACAGAAUUACCAUACAAGCAUUUAUAGUCAACACAAUCAGAAACAGUUCCCGUCGUUAGACGGGGAAUAUGAAGGCUUUCAAGAAUGAACAAGUGACAUGUCUAACUCGAACAGUUAAAAACGACUAUCGACAUCUACCGCUUGUCUUGAUAUUUUGAAAUUGUAUGCAUAUAACGUAUACGUUUAUGAUAGGAUGAGUUUCUUGUGUCUGACAAAAAUUAAAUUCCUUCAUGGUUAUAUCUUGCCAUACGUUUAUAUUGGUUUUGAUUACUGUUACUCAAAAUCGUUAUUUGAAAAUCCUGUUUGUGAGAUGUAUAUUCAUUUCAAUACAGAAAUUUCGUCUAUAUAUUUCACAAGUGUAUAACACGGAGAAGCUCUGAAGGUCCAUUACUCCAAUUUUGUUUGGGUGUGAACCAUCGAUGUUGACAGCAAUAACAAAGAAUAAGAUGAUGAUGGUAGAAAGAACUAUGGGCGUCAUGUGGCAAAUAUUACAUGCAUAUCGGACAAUGAGUUGUCAAUCUGUAUGAAAAGAUUUCCAAUACAACCAUAUUAUUGAGAAGGAAUGUUUACAUGCUAUACUCUCGUACUAGUAUUACAGGGUUCCUGUGGCGUUCACCUUAGACACACAUCUUUUUAACGAUGUUUAAAAAAAGACAGAACCAAUUUAAUGUCAUAUUUCCCUAUUUUUUAAAUAUAACUAAAAGUCUUUCAUCUGACAAGAAUACCCCUAUUUAGCGGACAAGUAAUUUUUUUUUCUGUUAUUGAAUACCAAGAAAAAAAAAAUCUCGAAAUUAAUUUGAAACUUUGAUACUCAAAAGUUUUCCAGCAAAAUAUUCACAUCCCUUCGGGAUAAUUAGUGUUCGUCCAGUGGCAUAUAUAACAAUGGUGAUGACGAAUUCCUUCCUUUUUUUCGAGAACAAUCUUAUUGAAAUAUAAAUCUGUGAUUUUACUAUGUCAACGAAGACGUUACGCGCGAUGUUCGUACCACAUUGGAAAAUCGGUGUAGUUGACAUGAUGCAAGUCCAAAUAUUAUAUUUUGUGAUAUCAUAUUCAUUGCUAUUGUACGCAAUUUGAACAAAAAUGUUUCUUUUUAAAUAAAAAAGAAAAAUAUUUGUUGAAACUAUGUUUUAUGCUGCAUGCGACAAGCUUCAGUUUUAAAAAAACGGCUAUUUUUAGGCUGUCCCGCGUAACAAAUUUCAUUUAUUGUAACCACUAAAGUGUGAUUUUCGUCUAAACUAUUUAAUAUUUAAAAAACGGUUUUUUCCAUUAUUUAACAAAAAGGUUCCUUCAUUUUUUAUGCAUUUUCUAUGACGUUUUGAUGACGUCAUAGAAAAAAUAAAGUGUUCCAUACUAAAAGGGCUAAUCUGUCCCGCGAGAGAAAAAAAAUUGGUAUUCCAGAUUUGAGAAUCAAAACAUUUCAUCUAAAGGGAAAAAAGGUUAGUAUUUGUAUUUACUGCAUCAAUGUUAUUUUGCUUAAUUUUAUGAAUUUAAAGACAAAUAUCCUGAAAAAUGAUAUAUGGUAAUUUAUGAGCGAUUUUUCAAAGGCUUACAAGGUUGUCGCACCGCCAUUUUUUGACGAAAAAAAGAUCUCAACUCAAAUUUACGUCAAUUGUUUGCUUAUCUGAGCUCUUAUAAUAGUCGAAUUUUAUUAUUUUUUAAAAUGUUAUUUUUCUUAAUUUUUCAAAAAUCUUAAGUACAUCAAUUUUCGAUAAGUAGUUAAAACGCACCGUCGAUUUUGCGGAGUCUUACAAGAAUGUCGCACAUGCUUAAAACCAACGUUUCAGUCGAAGUUUUGGUUUGAACGUAACGAAAUAUUCGCGACGUUAUGUUACGCUUACAUGUACGAACAUCGCGCGUAACGUCCCACAACUUCAAUGAACCAAAGCAAAAGUUAUGCAUCGACCUGUAUUUAAAUCAAAUUGGUUCUCUUCUUUUUCUGGUAUACAAUAGUCUAUCGACAUUCGAUGAUUACAUACUGUUGGCAUACGUGGACUAGUCUAUUUACAACACUUUUACCCCUAUUUAUUCAAAAUAUAUGUUUUUUUCUCAUGUUCAAUGUAUACAUGUAUAUAUUUUAAAUUGCGCUAUAGUUCCGUAACUUUCUAUCCAGUCGUAUAAACGAAUCGUCGGCAAGUGCGUACAUUUUUUUAAAUCAAUAUUUCUGGUAUGUUCCAAUCUGUCCUUCACUUUUGACAAUGAGUAUAUAUUACAUUUUCCCAAAUUCACCCUUGGAAAAAAUAUUUAAAUAGAUUUUAAUUUCAUCAAAUCUUAUUUUUUGGGUAUUAUUUAUAUUUUUAUGAAUAAUAUUCUUUACACCAAUGUUAUUUAUAAAUAAGCGUAUGAGUUUGGUAAUGACAAGUAAGACAGAGUUGUAUAUUAUACAUCUGAUAGUUCAAAAUGGAAAGUUAUCAGCCGUGUACACUGAUCAAUACCUGCAGAAGUGAAACGAUGCGUGAACUUGCAAGCCCGACAGGAAAUCGCUUGAAUACCUGGACGUGUCACCUCACACCCCUCACAAUACCUUUGGAAGUAAUACCUUUAGCCAUGCUGGUGAUCAGAAGAGGGAAGAUCAAAAUUCAUUUGAAAACAAUUUAUUACUUUAAAGAAUUAUGAAAAAAAUAGAUUUUCGAAAACAAUUUUCACGGAACUCUUAUUUAUGAUUUCAACUUUGACUUUUCACUAAUUCCAAUAUCAAGUUUAAAAACAACAGACCAUGGUAAUUUAAAGAAUAGUUUCCGUAUCAAGUUAGUUAGUCGGAUAAAACAACCGUACGAUUGACAAGAUAUCGACACGCAAUUACGACUACAUCGGUUACUGUAGUUUUGUUUCUUUGUGGUUUAUAGACAUAUCUUUUCAUUAAUCGGGAAAGAAGACAAAAUGGCGGAAAACAGAGAAUUGAUGCUCUCAAUUUAAAAUCGAUGGUGAUCGCUUAUCUAGCGGAAUAAAAAUUUAAUAUCUAUGAAUUUGAGCAUUUUUAUACAGAAUGAACAUAAU